rnacentral:rRNA from 1 species
GUGAGGAAUAUUGCGCAAUGGAGGCAACUCUGACGCAGCCAUGCCGCGUGCAGGAAGAAGGCGCUACGCGUUGUAAACUGCUUUUAACCGGGAAGAAACCCCAGGACGUGUCCUGGGUUGACGGUACCGGAGGAAUAAGCACCGGCUAACUUUGUGCCAGCAGCCGCGGUAAUACGAAGGGUGCAAGCGUUAUCCGGAUUCAUUGGGUUUAAAGGGUGCGUAGGCGGAGCGUUAAGUCAGUGGUGAAAUCCUGCAGCUUAACUGUAGACUUGCCAUUGAUACUGGCGCUCUUGAGUGCGCUUGAAGUGGGCGGAAUGUGCCGUGUAGCGGUGAAAUGCUUAGAUAUGGCACAGAACACCAAUUGCGAAGGCAGCUCACUAAGGCGAUACUGACGCUGAGGCACGAAAGCGUGGGGAUCGAACAGGAUUAGAAACCCUUGUAGUCC